rnacentral:rRNA from 1 species
CCCGCUGAACUUAAGCAUAUCAAUAAGCGGAGGAAAAGAAACCAACAGGGAUUGCCCUAGUAACGGCGAGUGAAGCGGCAACAGCUCAAAUUUGAAAUCUGGCCCCUAGGCCCGAGUUGUAAUUUGUAGAGGAUGCUUUUGGCGCGGUGCCUUCUGAGUUUCCUGGAACGGUACGCCAUAGAGGGUGAGAGCCCCGUAUAGUCGGCCUCCAAGCCAAUGUAAAGCUCCUUCGACGAGUCGAGUAGUUUGGGAAUGCUGCUCAAAAUGGGAGGUAAAUUUCUUCUAAAGCUAAAUACCGGCCAGAGACCGAUAGCGCACAAGUAGAGUGAUCGAAAGAUGAAAAGCACUUUGAAAAGAGGGUUAAAAAGCACGUGAAAUUGUUGAAAGGGAAGCGCUCAUGACCAGACUUUGUGCCCUGUAGCUCAUCCGGCGUUCUCGCCGGUGUACUCUACUUGGCUCAGGCCAGCAUCGGUUCUCGUAGGGGGAUAAAAGCUUCAGGGACGUGGCUCCUCCGGGAGUGUUAUAACCUGCUGCACAAUACCUCUGCGGGGACCGAGGUUCGCGCUCUGCAAGGAUGCUGGCGUAAUGGUUAUCAGCGACCCGUCUUGAAACACGG